rnacentral:rRNA from 1 species
UACGUAGGCAGCGAGCGUUGUUCGGAGUUACUGGGCGUAAAGGGCGCGUAGGCUGUGCUGUAAGUCAGGCGUGAAAGCCCCGGGCUCAACCUGGGAAUUGCGCUUGAUACUGCGGCGCUGGAAGGUGGGAGAGGUGGCGGAAUUCCCAGUGUAGAGGUGAAAUUCGUAGAUAGUUGGGAAGAACACCGGUGGCGAAGGCGGCCAUCUGGCCCAUUUUUGACGCUGAGCGCGAAGCGUGGGAGC